rnacentral:lncRNA from 1 species
AGUACCACCCCACCUGGCUAAUUUUCAUAUUUUUACACCUGUUACUUUUGGCUCGUUAAGCUCUUUACUCAGGGUCUUGGUUCUGAGUUGGAGCGGCCUCUUAGUUUUGCAAGCAUUAGGUUUGGAAUGUAGCCCUGAAGCCUCGCUGCUGGGUCUGUGUCCAGGCCUUGGUGCACACUCACGUAUCCCCCAGCCUCUCCACCCUCUCCACCCUCCCCUCUCUGAAGUGGGCUUGCCGGGAACAAGGUCAUGCUCAUGCACACGUUGCUCUUAGGAAAGUACUUGCCACAUGACAGAUGCUCAGUAAAUGUUAGCUGUAAUUUUUAUUUUUCUAUAAAAGGAAAGGUUUUCCGUGUGGUAAUUUUUCAGCCCUACCCUGAUUGCUAGUCAAGAAAUGGUCAUUUUGUAACUAGUUUGUGCAAGGCAGGAGGUUCUGUACUGUCAGCUACCACGUGGCCUAGAAAUUCUUCCAGUUUCCGCUGUGUGGGCAUUCCUUCUCUCCCUGUUCUUUUCCCUGUUCCUCUCUUCCUCUUCUCCUUUCUUAAAAAAUAGUCUUCUAAAUUUGCUUAGUGUUGGCAGAAUAUAUCUCAUAAUUGAAAGGGUGUCUUUGGAGUUUUACAGAAUUGAAUUUACUUCUUGCUGCUUACCAUGUUAGCUUUUCAACCUGAUGUAAAAGUGUUCUUUCAGUGGCUGGUAUUUUCCUGGUGAUUAAUACAUGCUGAGUCCUCCCCUCCCAAUAGGGAUUCACGAUAGCGGUUCUAGCUCCAGCUUGGAGAGCAUUGACCACAUG